rnacentral:lncRNA from 10 species
ACAAAUACAAAUAAUUAAGAGAAAUGAAGAGAAUGUGAGGGACCUAUGGAACACCAUCAAGAUGCCAACACACACAUUAUGGAAGUUUCAGGAGGGGAUAGAGUGAACUAGCAUUAAAAAAAAGGGAGAAAUAAUGGUUAAAAAAACUUCCCAAAUUUGAUAAGACACAUUAAUCUACACAUUAAAAAAACCUCAGUGAGCCAGGCCAACCCCAACAGCCCCAGGCUCCAGACCAGCUCACCACUAGGCCAGCCCCCACAGUCCCAAUCUUCAGUUCUACCCCAGCAAUCAGCUGUUCCCUGCAACUCUAGUCAUUAGGCUGACACCCACAAACCCAUCUCCAGGCCAGCCCCUGUGGUGCCAGGUUUCAGGCUUGCUCCAGCACCAUGUCAGCAAUGCUGGACUUAAACACCAGGCAGGCACCCACAGACACAGGCUCCAGGAUCAUCCCAGCACCUGCCCAGCCCCUGUAGAUGUAGGUCUAAGGCCCACCCCAUCAAGUGCUAGAUCAGCCUCUGUGGACCAGGCUUCAGGCUUGCCUCUGGAGACACAGGUCUCAGCCUCAGACUCAUGGACCCAGGCUCUGGGCUCAUCAGUGCAGUCCCAAUUAACAGGUUCACCCAAGUGGAUGCAGGUCCAGACUCAACCCUGCAGUUUAGGAGUCAGGCCUGUCUACCUACUGACCCAGGCGUAGGCCAGCUUGUUCAAGGACUCCAGCAACAAGGUUUUCUUCAAAUCACGCCUGAGAGCCUGCCAAGAAUAUUUGGAUGAGCUGAUUGGUGAAGGGCUUUCCCAGGCAAAGCAUUCUAUAAAAACUGAAACAAGUCCCAAAUUGUUCAAAUCCACAGACAUCAACUUAAGGCAACAAGAAACAUGAAACACCAAGGAGACAUAACAUCACCAAAAAAACACAAUAAUCUCUCAGUAGGCCGGGCACGGUGGCUCACGCCUAUAAUCUCAGCACUUUGGGAGGCCGAGGCUGGUGGAUCACGAGGUCAGGAGUUCAAGACCAGCCUGGCCAAGAUGGUGAAACCCCAUCUCUACUAAAAAAAAAAAAAAAAAAAACAAAAAUUAGCCGGGCAUGGUGGCGGGUGCCUGUAAUCCCAGCUACUCGGGAGGCUGAGACAGAGAAUUGCUUGAACCUGGGAGUUGGAGGUUGCAGUGAGCCAAGAUCGUGCCACUGCACUCCAGCCUGGGCAACAGAGGAAGAAUCCAUCUCAAAAAUAAUAAUAAUAAUAAUAAUAAUCUCUCAGUAGCUGACCCCAAAGAAAUGGAGAUGUACAGACUGCCUGGCAAAUAAUUCAAAAUAAUUAUUUAAGAAAGUUCAGGCUGGCGCAGUGGCUCAUGCUUGUAAUCCCACCACUUUGGGAGGC